rnacentral:lncRNA from 1 species
CCUGUGUCUCAUAAAGGUGAAGGAGUGAGCCAGCUCAAUGGGAUUGCUUGUCUUAAACUUGUCCCCAAAGGCUUCCACCUCCUAGUGCCAUCCUCCUGGUGACUAGGAUUUCAACUUAUGAAUAUUAGGGGGACACAAGCAUUCAGACCAAAGCAAAAGUAAUAAUAACAAUAACAAAAGAACAAUAAGGUUUCAAAAUGUCAAAUUGACUUCAUGUCAUUUGCUGCCUCUAGGAUAAGGUGAUGUGUGUUGGAUUUGGUUGCUAGAGUGCUGUGUUGUGAGAGAUGUGAAGAUUGAUCCAAGGGUCCCUUAGCUCAGUCUCCUCCAGGCAGAGUAGACAGGGCUGUGGCCUGCCUCAUACACAUCUCCCGUUUCAUAGGGUAGCAUGCUAGGAGGGUAUCUUAUACUUAUGGACUGAAAUCUCAAGGUCAAAGGAGAGUUCUCAACUAUCUCUAAUGCCUGAACAUAAAUUCUUCCAGGACUCUCUGAAUUUGUAGAAUUGUUUUCUGGUCUUGCCUUCUGUUUGCGAGGUCUGCAGGUGUCCUCUAUGUACCAAGAAUUGUUAUUGAGUUGGCUUUCAGAAUUCUAAGAAGACAGGCAAGCCUGGGAGAGAAGUAUACUGAGGGCCAGGUCUUCUGGUGGCAAUGCUGAGGUGGAGUUUGGGAUGAAAGGUUUGAAGAGAAGUCCAGAUGGACCUUCUGAAGCCUCAGUCCUCUGGAGCAAUUAUGCCCUGCCAAGAGUUGCCUUCAUUUGGCUAAAUGCAGACUUUGCGCCCCUCACCUCUCUAGCCACUUGGAUCUGGGCUGCUCAGGAAAGACAAAGCCCUUGUGCAGUGCAAUUGGCAGCAGAGCAGGUCCUGAGAACUCUGGCAGCAGGAGGCCCUCUGCUGACCAUUCUCCCCACUGCUGUUGGCAAGUUCCUUGGGAAUCUGGAAGGUACAGCAUUACGGCAUCCUGAGGAGUAGGAUGCUUGGGAGAGUUUGUUGCAUCCAGGAUUCCUUUGCAAUUGAAAGGGAGGGUCAGGUUGGACUUGGUGGUGCAUGCCUGUAGUCCUAGUGACUUUGGAGGCUGAGGCAGGAGGAUCACAAGUUCAGUCAGUCUCAGCAACUCAGCAAGGCCCUAAGCAAAUGGUGAGAACCUGUCUCGAAAUUAAAUAAAAGAAAAAAAAAUAAAGAAAGAGAGUCAUUUUGCAAGUUGAUAACACAGGCUUUGAGGUCCUAGAAACCUCUUAGCACACUAACAUUGCCAUAAACCCUUUGCCAUUUAGAAGUGAAUGUCAAAGCCAUAGACAUUCACUAACUCCUGGUCUCAGACCUGAGUGCUAGAAUAGGCAGCUGUGUGCCAUCACCCAUCCUGUCACGGCCCUAUCUGAGCCCUUUGCUACAUAUGCAGGCCAACACCUGCCUCCAGUAUAGAUAAGACAACACCUGAACCCCAUUCGAUUUGCAGGUGCACCCCACAUGAGUACUGAACACUGAGGGCUUAAGAGGUGUGUGUGAGUGUCCUUGCUUACCAGUUUUUCCCGUGUCCCUGCACAUGAGAAGACUUGCUAACUCUUGGAUUUCAUUUACUGGACAAAAAGGGAAAACGAUAAUGAUAGGAAACAGGAAAAGCCCUAGGAGAUGUUCAGAAAUGAGUGUCUCUUCCCACUUGCUGGUGGGCGUUUCAUCCUGGGUUGUUAAUGCAGAAAUUCACAAUCAGUGACUCCCCCCCAGUUGUACUAAAGACCACUGAGGACGCUUCUGUAGUGAUUCUGGGUGUAAUGCACAUUUGAAGGAGUUGCCUUUGGGAAGGACCUAGCCCCUCACACUCCUGUGAAGGGCAGAAGCAGAGUGUGUUGUCUUGGAAGUCCCAGGCUCUUCUGAGGUUUCUGUAUUCUAUAUUCUGUGUGCAACCCCAACAGCAGGUUGACAUUUGUUUCUAGGAGUGAAAAAUAGCAAAGAGUAACUGCCCCCCCUCAGGUUUCCCUGGGGCACCUUCUGUGGUAGCUGUUGAAGCAGGGCUGGUUUUCCAUCCAGAAAGCCCACCCUGCAGGGGAGUCCUGGUAGGUGUCCUGGCCAUUCUGCUCUUCUGAGGACAGUAAGGAAGGAAUAGAAAGUUUCAGAUUAGUGGAGUUGAUUUAUUUCCAGGAGGUUAGGAAGCAACUUCUGAGACUUUCUAGGAAUGUAGGGAUUCAUGUCUGCGCCUCUGAGACCCUCCUUAAGGCUUCUGGGUUCCGAGUGAGGGUAAAUCCUGUUGAGCUUUCUUGUGUCAUUAUGGAAGUCCUAUGGCAUUUCCUGGAGCCUCAGUGUCCUUAUGUGUAAAAGGAGACAAUAAGAUCCCUGCUCACCCCUUUGACAGUAUAAGCACUUGCUUGAAUGUUUCUGGUUCAUUCGAUUUGCAGGUGCACCCCACGUGAGUACAAUCUCAUUGAUCAGUGCACACAGAAGGUGCCCAGCCCUCUAGGAAAGUCCUUCUGCAGGUCAGGCUAAUACAAAGUCAGGAGCAGCUCAACCAUUGGUUCCUGAGGAGCCUCCCAGGAAAAGUCUCCUGAAGGGGAACCAUGCAGCUUCUGAGUGGCCAAGUCAGUCUCAACGCCUUCCCCCUCCCCCUCCCUCCCCUGUCAUCUUUGUUACUUCUCUCUCUCUCUCUCUCUCUCUCUCUCUCUCUCUCUCUCUCACACACACACACACACACACACACACGUAGUCCACCGUAGGCUCGUGUCUGGUGAUCUCCUGGGUUUCAUGCCCAUGUCUCUCAUCUCCUCAACCUGUCUCUCUGGAAUGUGUACUAUGAACAUUACAUUGGAGUACAAAUGUGGGAGGUGUAACUGUAGAGCCGUAAUAGUCACAAGAAAAUUAGUAAUUUUGUCUCUCCUUUUUGUAUUUUAUAGUGGUGCACCUGGAAGCAAAAAAGUGUAAGCC